CACCAUCUGUUGUGCGUGGGGUAGUACGGAAUGUUUACAGGUAUGUGCUGGCUGGUUUUGGAGUGAGGUAAAGACAGGAUGUAAUGAUCCAUAUGUUUUGUCAAGUGGGAAUAGAGGAGGAAUGGAGUGGUUUGGGUCGUGGAGGUCGUAGUGAAUUCUCUGGGUCGUAGAAAUCCAUAGAAAGCGAUGUAUAUUGCUGUUUUGAUGAUAGAAUUCGUAUUAGUGUCAAACGGUUUCAGGUCGAGUAGGUUAGAUAAAGCUUUGAAGAUAUGGUUAUCUAUGGGUAGCCUCUGGGCCAAAUGUGUGGGUUCUGAUUUUUGAAUACCUCUGAGUAUGGUCUUAAUUUGGUGAGAGGCCAUGAAACUGUUGUUAUUUG